CAGCCGCCGCGGUAAUACCGGCGGCCCGAGUGGCGGCCACUCUUAUUGGGCUUAAAGCGUCCGUAGCCGGGUUGGUUAGGCUCCCGGGAAAUCUGGCCGCUUAACGGUCAGAAUUCCGGGAGAUACUGCCAGCCUAGGGACCGGGAGAGGCCGAGGGUAUUCCCGGAGUAGGGGUGAAAUCCUAUAAUCCCGGGAGGACCACCUGUGGCGAAGGCGCUCGGCUGGAACGGGUCCGACGGUGAGGGACGAAGGCCAGGGGAGCAAACCGGAUUAGAUACCCGGGUAGUCCUGGCGGUAAACGAUGCGGACUUUGUGUCGGACAAGCUAUGAGCUUGUCCGGUGCCGGAGGGAAACCGUUAAGUCCGCCGCCUGGGGAGUACGGCCGCAAGGCUGAAACUUAAAGGAAUUGGCGGG
rnacentral:rRNA from 1 species